rnacentral:rRNA from 1 species
CCUACGGGUGGCAGCAGUGGGGAAUAUUGCACAAUGGGGGAAACCCUGAUGCAGCGACGCCGCGUGAGUGAAGAAGUAAUUCGUUAUGUAAAGCUCUAUCAGCAGGGAAGAAAAUGACGGUACCUGAGUAAGAAGCCCCGGCUAACUACGUGACAGCAGCCGCGGUAAAACGUAGGGGGCAAGCGUUAUCCGGAUUUACUGGGUGGAAAGGGAGCGUAGACGGCAGUGCAAGUCUGGAGUGAAAGGCGGGGGCUCAACCCCCGGACUGCUCUGGAAACUGUACGGCUGGAGUGCAUGCGAGGUAAGUGGAAUUCCUAGUGUAGCGGUGAAAUGCGUAGAUAUUAGGAGGAACACCAGUGGCGAAGGCGACUUACUGGACUGUAACUGACGUUGAGGCUCGAAAGCGUGGGGAGCAAACAGGAUUAGAUACCCCAGUAGUC